ACACGACUACAUUAGAUACCCCUGUAGUCCUAGCCGUAAACGAUACUCGCUAGGUGUCGGCCACGGUGCGACCGUUGUCGGUGCCGUAGGGAAGCCGUGAAGCGAGCCACCUGGGAAGUACGGCCGCAAGGAUGAAACUUAAAGGAAUUGGCGGGGGAGCACCGCAACGGGAGGAGCGUGCGGUUCAAUUGGAUUCAACGCCGGACAACUCACCAGGAGCGACGGUUACAUGAAGGCCAGGCUGAUGACCUUGCCUGAUUUUCCG
rnacentral:rRNA from 1 species